GAUGAACGCUGGCGGCGUGCCUAAUACAUGCAAGUCGAGCGAACAGAUGAGGAGCUUGCUCCUCUGACGUUAGCGGCGGACGGGUGAGUAACACGUGGAUAACCUACCUAUAAGACUGGGAAAACUUCGGGAAACCGGAGCUAAUACCGGAUAAUAUAUUGAACCGCAUGGUUCAAUAGUGAAAGACGGUUUUGCUGUCACUUAUAGAUGGAUCCGCGCCGCAUUAGCUAGUUGGUAAGGUAACGGCUUACCAAGGCAACGAUGCGUAGCCGACCUGAGAGGGUGAUCGGCCACACUGGAACUGAGACACGGUCCAGACUCCUACGGGAGGCAGCAGUAGGGAAUCUUCCGCAAUGGGCGAAAGCCUGACGGAGCAACGCCGCGUGAGUGAUGAAGGUCUUCGGAUCGUAAAACUCUGUUAUUCGGGAAGAACAAAUGUGUAAGUAACUAUGCACGUCUUGACGGUACCUAAUCAGAAAGCCACGGCUAACUACGUG
rnacentral:rRNA from 1 species